UGCAAGUCGAACGGUGAAAGAGGAGCUUGCUCCUCUGGAUCAGUGGCGAACGGGUGAGUAACACGUGAGUAACCUGCCCCAGACUCUGGGAUAAGCACUGGAAACGGUGUCUAAUACCGGAUACGAGCUUCAGCCGCAUGGCUAGGAGCUGGAAAGAAUUUCGGUCUGGGAUGGACUCGCGGCCUAUCAGCUAGUUGGUGAGGUAAUGGCUCACCAAGGCGACGACGGGUAGCCGGCCUGAGAGGGUGACCGGCCACACUGGGACUGAGACACGGCCCAGACUCCUACGGGAGGCAGCAGUGGGGAAUAUUGCACAAUGGGCGCAAGCCUGAUGCAGCAACGCCGCGUGAGGGACGACGGCCUUCGGGUUGUAAACCUCUUUUAGUAGGGAAGAAGCGAAAGUGACGGUACCUGCAGAAAAAGCACCGGCUAACUACGUGCCAGCAGCCGCGGUAAUACGUAGGGUGCAAGCGUUAUCCGGAAUUAUUGGGCGUAAAGAGCUCGUAGGCGGUUUGUCGCGUCUGCUGUGAAAACUGGAGGCUCAACCUCCAGCCUGCAGUGGGUACGGGCAGACUAGAGUGCGGUAGGGGAGAUUGGAAUUCCUGGUGUAGCGGUGGAAUGCGCAGAUAUCAGGAGGAACACCGAUGGCGAAGGCAGAUCUCUGGGCCGUAACUGACGCUGAGGAGCGAAAGCAUGGGGAGCGAACAGGAUUAGAUACCCUGGUAGUCCAUGCCGUAAACGUUGGGAACUAGAUGUAGGGACCAUUCCACGGUUUCUGUGUCGCAGCUAACGCAUUAAGUUCCCCGCCUGGGGAGUACGGCCGCAAGGCUAAAACUCAAAGGAAUUGACGGGGGCCCGCACAAGCGGCGGAGCAUGCGGAUUAAUUCGAUGCAACGCGAAGAACCUUACCAAGGCUUGACAUAUACCGGAAAAGUUCAGAAAUGUUCUCCCCGCAAGGUCGGUAUACAGGUGGUGCAUGGUUGUCGUCAGCUCGUGUCGUGAGAUGUUGGGGUUAAGUCCCGCAACGAGCGCAACCCUCGUUCUAUG
rnacentral:rRNA from 1 species